rnacentral:tRNA from 1 species
UAGCUUAGUUGGUAAAGCACUCGUCUAGCAUACAAGAGUCGAGGGUUCGAAUCCCAC